CAGUUGGAGCAGUGUCUCCGGGCCGGCCCUCCUCUGCUGCGGCAGCCGCCGGGGCUCGCGGUCCCGAUGCUCUCCCCAGCGCCUCUCGCUGACUGACUCUAUUCACCUCACGCCGCCGCUUAAACAUUGAGACGGAUUCCCCGCCAGCCAAUCGACGCGCGGAGCCAGGCCCCGCCCCCUCGGCCCACGCCCAAUGGGAGGCGGGAAGAGGGCAGGCGUGGGCGGGGCCGGCAGCCCGGGCGCUUUAGAGUCGUGGACCGGCCCGGGUCGGGGGCUGGAGCUCCGGGGGGCCCUGCCGAGCCCGCGCUAGGUCUCCGCGACGGCGCCCCGGGCCCGCACCGCCGCUAGCUCCUCGGCCGCCGGCCUCCGGAGAGGAAAAAAGUUUCACAGUCGCUGGCUUUUACACGGGGAUCGGAUCCGCAGCCAGCCAGCCGUGGGGAAUCCCUGCAUACUUUGCAGAGAGAGACAGAGAGAGAGAGGGGCGCAGCUGCGGUCUUCCCGACGCGUGGCCGCGCGCACAGCAGCACACCUCGUCCACACACGCACACGCAUGCACAAACACAGAGUCCAAGGGAGUUGCAGAUUUUCUGACUAACCCCCCCUCUCCCCCGCACUCGUCUGAAGGAGGGAGAAAUCCCGGCUGUCCCCAGGCACCCAUGCAAGGAAAGUCACUUGAUUAUGAAAGUGUUUCAGAAGAAAAGCAGACGCCGGUGCAGAGAGAGGCAGUGUCUCCAAGGAGGGGGUAAAAAUGCCUCUCUUAAGUCGUGUUUUGUAGCUUCAUGAAACUGAAAUCUGGUUGAACAAUAUUUAGAGUUCUACCUUUUCCAUCUCCUAUUACAGGUCACAAGGUAACAUGAGGACCCUCAACACCCCAAAGCUUUGCUGUCUCGUUCACCUUACUAAAGUUCCAAAUAACAAUUGGUAUUGUUUCAAACCAAAGACCUCUGAUAAUAUUUUCAAAGUCUCUUAUAUGUAGAAGCUGAACUGUUAGGCAAGAACUUAUAUCAGUAGGAGAUUAAAGAUGCCUGUUUUAUAACUAUAAUCUAAUCUAUCAAUCUGUUCGUCUAUCUAUCUCUGUCAUCUAUCUCCCACCUCCAUCCCUGCUCUAAAUUCUGCAUCUUCUCCCGCUUCAAAACUUGCUUUUGCCCAAACUACCUUCACAACCCAAACAUCAACAAGUCACUGUAAGGUUUGCUUUUGAUCUAGCAGUUCUGGAGAAGAGUUAAAAGAGAAAAAAAGAAACUGGUGGACUGAAAUAGAGAAGACAGGAGCCUAGUGUAGCUGUCCUCUGAGAGGCUUCCCCCAGCAAACAGAUCCAAACAGAUGCUGAGACUCACAACCAAACAUUGGAUGGGAAGCAAGAAGUCUUUUGCAAGAGUGGGAGGAAGGACAGAAGAACAUGGAGGGGACAGGAGCUCCACAAGAAGACCAACAGAGCCAACUAAGCAGGGCCCAAUGGGUAUUGCAAAGACUAAAACUCCAACCAAGGACCAUGCAUGCAUCGACUGUCGGGCAGCUUGGACUUCAAGUGGGUCCUCUAGCAAGGUGUCUCAAUAUCUGACCCUCCUUGAAUCUCCAUAUAUAGACGAAAUUUCCUGUGAACUCAAAGAAAUCUGCCUGCUUUUGACUCCUGAAUGCUAAGAUUAAAGGUGUAUGUAACACACCUGAAGCUAGUCAGUACUUUUUAUAACAAGAAAUAUCCAACAAAACACAUUGGAUUAUGCUAGUGUUUCUAUAGAAUUCAUUUUUCUCAAUUAGUGAGACACCCAUCCUGUCAUUUUUAUACCAGAACAUUAUUCUUUUGAAUGAAUAUGCAAGAUAUAAAAUAUGACAAUAAAUAUGCUGUCAGCUAUGUAACUACCUCCUUUUCUGUACAUUGUUAUAUACAUAUAUAUGUGUGUGUGUUUAACUUUUAAAAAUUGAAAUUUUAAAACAUAUUUAUACAUUUGAAGAAGAAUGUAUAAAGAAUUUUUUUAUAUUUAAUAUUUAAAUUUCACAUGAACUUGGAAGAAAUUAACUGACUAUUCAAAAAAAUUAAUAUUACUAAGUAGUUCUAUCCAGCUGAAAAUUAGGGAAAUAAUACCUUUAAAAAUGGCAUGUAUAACAAUAAAGAAAAAAAUAUGGAAAUAUUUAAGAAUUACAGAGACAAUGGCAGAUAAAAAUUAACUGUAAUACCUAAGGAUUUUAAAUUUAAAAAUUGCUACUGUCUUAGGUUUUCUAUUGCUACAACAAAACCUCCGUGACAGAAAAUCAAGUAGAGGAAGAAAGGGUUUAUUCUGCUUACACUUCCGUCAUAAUCCAUCACUGGAGGAACCAGGACUAGAACUCAGGCAGGCUGGAACCUGGAGGAGGAGCUGACUCGGAGGCCAUGGAGGGCGUUCCCAGUAGCUUACUCCUGUGGCUGCUCAUUUUGCUUUCUUCUAGAACCCAGUACCUCAGCCCAGGGAUGUCACCACCCUCUCCAUGUUUCCCUCAUUGAUCACUAAUAAAGAGCGAUGUUACAGCUGGACCUCACAGAGGCAUUUCCUCAACUGAAGUUUCUUCCUCUCCCAUGACACUAGGUUGUGCCAAGUUGAUGUAAGUCCACCCAGCACAGCUACAAACGAUAGUAAUGGUUUAGUAUGGAGUGCCUGUCAUCCACAAUUGGUGGCAUUGUUUACAGGUUAUGGAAGAAAUCGGUGAACCACCACUGAAAAUGGAUCUCUGAGGGUGGGUCUCAAAGAUUUAGCAGAGUGAGGGGGGAGAUGUUACAACCAAAUUCCAGAUUUAAUGUAACUCAUAUCACACUUACUUAUUAGCAUUUCUGGUUCAGCUUCAGCCUCCGCGUCUUCCUUGCCUUGAUGUGUUGCAACAAUUAAUUCAAAUGGCGAACCCGCAAUAAAUUUCUUCUCCUAGAAUAUCUUUGCUGUUUUUGUUAGGUCAGAGUAACAAAAAAUAUUUCUAAUACAAGAGGAUAGCUGGAUAAAAUAACAAAAUUCAAAUGCAUAUUGAUGAUUAAACGCAAAAGGAAUCAUUUCUUGGUAUGUCUUUUAACUUGUUUUAUUGUUUCCAUUAUCCUUAUGAGGUUAAUUCCAUUUGUCACUGAACAGUGAGUUCCACCAAUUUUAGCAUGGUGCUUUAUGCACUAUACGUAAGUCAUCCAUAGAAUGACUUGAUGUUUUUUACUGUCUAAGAUGUGCUGUGUCAAUUAAUCAAAUUCUUUUCUUAUUUUAAAAGAAAUAACGAAGAAAACGUUAUUGUUCUGUUCAUUAGCUUUAUUUUUGUAUUAAAACCAGUUUAUAGAAUAUUAAAUUGUAUUAAACAAGAGCAUUUUAUGUUAAAAAGUUUUAGUUGCAUUUCCUACGGUUUUAGUCAGUAUAAUAACAGUAUUUACAUAUUUUAUUGUACAGACAUUUUCUCUUGUAAGAAUACUGCUUGAGUUGUUUUUUUUUUUUAUUUGAAUCACGAUUCAUUGAAUGACAUGUUUGGGACAUGAAAUGAAAACAUUUACAUUAUGAACUGUUUUCACAUACAUUUAGGAAUAUACUUUUAUUUUGGAAGCUAAAAAAAAGACAUUAUUAGUAUAAGUUUAACAUCCCUGCAAUUAAAUAUUAGACUCUGAUAAUGACAUUAAAUAAGUACAAUGGAACUCAAUAAUGACUUCCAUAUGCAGUAGAAUCUAUACACACUGGUAUGUGAGAUCUGAAGAAAAUAUGUUUGUUUCUUUCUGUUUGUCUGUCUAGUUUGUUUGUUUCUCUAAACAGGUUUCCUCUGUGUAGCCCUGGCUGUCCUGAAACUCACUCUGUUGACUAGGCUGGCCUCAAACUCAGAGAUCCAAUUGCUCCUGCUGGGCAUGAAAGGCAUGUGCUACUAUGGCCUUGCAAAAUGUAAAUUUUUUUUAAACAUUUUUUUCAAUUUAAUAAUAAUAAUAGCAUAUAUAAUAUAAUAAUUAUUAUUAUUACUAUUAUGUUUGUUUUUUAAAAACAGGGUUUAUCUGUGUAGCUGGCUAUGACUGUCCUGGGAUUAGGCUGGGCCUUAAAGACACAGGAAUCUGUCUAUCUCUGCCUCCUCAAUGCUAGGAUUAAAGGCUUACACCAUAACACUGAGCUAGUAUUUUUAAUUAUAAGUCCAAUAUAUAUCAUAGUGAAUUGGCCCAAUAUUACAUCUUUCUGACAGAUUUUUUUUAUUGAUUUUGUAAGGGUAAAAUUAUUCUUUAAAUUCAACUGUGAGAAUUAUGGUAGUUAAAAUAUUCUUAAUAAUAGACUGAAUUUUUAGUGUGUUUUAUUUCAUAACUCAAAUAUUGUUUAAUAAAAAAUAAUUUUUAAGCUUAGUGGAAAAAGAUAAAGUAAAUAGAAAUAUGACUUAGGAUGAAUUUCCAACUUCUAAGCACACCAAAGCCAUUUCAUGCAAUUUUCAGAUGUCAUUUUGGAAAGACAGUAGACUAUGUCCCCAAUUAUAUUCCUUUUUUUUUUUUUUUCAGGCAAGGGUUUGCAAUUAGUAGAAUGUAUGACGAGGUGUAAUCAAAGAUUAGAAUUUUUUAAUUAAAUAGGGCCUUUUGUGACUAGCCAUUUGACAUUAAUUACUGUUUUAGUUGAAUUCCUUUUGAUUUGUAAAGAGCCCAGAGUAUCACAAAAAUUAUAUUGCAUCAUAGAAAUUGUUGGUAAUUAAAACAAAGGCUUUACUGCAUCAGCCCAUCACACAUCUUAAAAAAUAACAUCAUUUUAAAUGUUAAUGGCUUCCUUAGAUAAACAGACUAGAGGGUUUUGAAGGAAAAAAUAACAGAUGGCAUGUCAAGCCAGUUGCUUUGGAUGGACAGUUUGAAGGUUGUUAAUUGUAAUGAUUUAUAAGGUGUUUUCAAAUGUGCAGCCACACUUUUUGGGAGCUAACUAAUGGUGAAAGGUAUACCUGCAGUUCUACAGGCUCCACACCCGGUGGGAAUCAUAAACCCAACUCACACCACAGCUGUAGCUAGAGAUCAUCCGUCAAAUUCAUUGCUAAAGAGACUGACCUAGGAGUUCAAGCUGUGUUUUCAUUUCUGGACUCCUGGAGAAUGAAAUGUAAGUUAAAACUCUUUGUAAGAGCUCUGGAUUAAAACAGUAUAUUUGUAGUAAAAACUGCCACUCAUUUCUGUGAAUAGGAUUUAUACAAGGUGUUUACCUUAAAAGGACGGAGUAAUAUUAGAAGGAUUCACAUUGAUUUUGAUACCAGUGAACCUGUUCUUCUAAAAAAAGUGUAUCUACACACCAAUACAAUUUAUUUUAUUAUAAUGUGCUGUCUUUAUGUAAAAUGUGUGGUUUAAUACUGCAGUUACUACAGCUACACAGAUGUAGACACUGAUAUUUUCUUUAUUUGUGACAAAAGAAUCACAUAUAUUCAAAUCCUGGGUGCCUUAUAAUAAAAGAUAUUUAUUUUUAGUACAAUUUACCUUACGUUAGGGUUAUGGUCUGUCAACAAAAUAAAACUAAUUGGCCUGAAAAUGGAGGUGACUGUGCCCCAUAACUUCAUUAGCCGUGUACACAAUACAGCUGAGCCACAUGCAUGGCCAUAGAAAUAAUAAAACAACUUUAUGAAGAAGGAACAUGAAUCACUGAAAACUGAAACAUGUUGCAAUUAAUUUCAUAUUCCUCUCAUUAUGUGCAGAUUCCAGUUAGCUAGAUUUGCUGACUAUAGUUGUCCCAAAAUGUCUUUUUAAAAUUUUUUGAGAUUACAAUUAAUUAAAAUAUUUCUCCUUUCCCUUUCCUCCCUUCAAACACUUCACUCGAACAUUCUCGCUCUCUUGCAAAUUCAUGGUGUGGGCUUCUUUUUCACUAACUAUUUUUAAUUCAUGCACAUAAAUGCACACAUACAUGCAAACAUCUACAUAUUCCUAAAUAUAAAAUCUUCGGUUUAUUUGUUACUUGUAUGUAUAUUUUCAGGGCUGCCCACUUGGCACUAGACAAACAAUUUGUAUGUUAGUGCCUGAGGGACCACCUCGCCCUUUCCAAGCUUUGACAAGAGUUCUUUCUGUGAGGAGGGAACCUCAAAGGCUUUUCCUCUGUGUUUUGCCAUGUUGGUGCCAUCCUUGUUCAUCUCGUGUUUUCAUUCCAUCUUUUACAAGGUUCGUUGAACCUAGGUGCCAGAGUGUUUUUAGAUGUAUUCAUUGGGACUACGCUCCAUAACUUUGCAGUUUGUUUGGUAUGUUUUCCGUACUGGUCUCCAUAUGUUGCAAUGAGAAAUUUCCAUGAAGACUGUACUUAUCUGUGGGUAACAACUCUCUAAUUGGAUUUAAUAGCCUCUCAGCAAGAGGGAGACCAUGCCUGGUACUGGAAAUCUAGCUCAGCUAGCGAAGUUACAGUUACUGGAGGAGAAACUGUUACUAUUAAUUUCCUAUAGCAGUAGACCCCUAUGGGAAACUAUAACCAUUGUCCUCAUGCCCAAAAUGUCUUUUUAAAUUCUAUUUUUAAUUUUUAGCUUUUUCCAAAACGUACUAAAGGAAAUAAUUUUAAGAAAUAACAGAAAAGACUUAACUUAUAUUAGCAAUUGGGGCUACUUUAAUGUUAUUGAAAAAAUUAAACACAAAAAAAUGGAGUAUAGAGCUAAACAGAGAAUUCUCUCAACAAAGAGAUAUAGAAUGGCAGAGAAACACUUAAAGAAAUGCUCAAAGUCAUUAAUCGUCAUGGAAAUGUAAAUUAAAAUUACCCCGAGAUUCCAUUUCAUAUCCAUCAGAAUGGCUAAGAUCAAAAACUCAAGUGACAACACAUGCUAGAGAGGAUGUGGAGAAAGGGGAGCCAUUGCUGGUGGGAAUGCAAACUUGUAUAACAACUUUGGAAAUCAAUCUGGAGCUUUCUCAGACAAUUAGGAAUAGUGCUUCCUCAAGAUCCAGCCAUACCACUCCUAUGCCUAUAUCUGAAACAUGCUCAAGUAUACAACAAGGACAUUUGCUCAACCAUGUUUAUAGCAGCUUUAUUCAUAAUAGCCAGAACCUGGAAACAAACUAGAUGUCCCUCAACUGAAGAAUAAAUACAGAACUUGUGGUACAUUUACAUAAUUGAAUACUACUCAGUUAUUUUUGUAAUUUUAAUUUUAACUUUUUUAUAUUAAUUAUAGAUUAUCACUUUGUAUCCCAUCUGUAGCCCCCUCCCUUACCACUCAGCUAUUAAAAAGAAGGAAACCAUAAAAAUUUCAGGCAAAUGGAUGGAACUAGAGAAGAUCAUCCUGAGUGAGGUAUUCCAGAAGCAGAAAGAUUCUCAUGGUAUAUACUCACUUAUAAGUGGAUAUUAACCAUUACAUAGGAUAAACAUAUAAAAAUCUACAGACCUAAAGAAGCUAAACUAUGGGGUUGGGGAUUUAGCUCAGUGGUAGAGCGCUUGCCUAGCAAGCACAAGGCCCUGGGUUCGGUCCUCAGCUCUGGAAAAAAAAAAAAGAUAAAAGAAGCUAAACUACAAGAAGGACCCUAGGGAAGAUGCUUAAUUCUCAUUCAGAAGAGAAAAAAAGGAUAGACACUGGAAACAAUAGAAGAGAGGUUACAGGACUGGAGCCAACCACAGAGGUCCUCUAAAAGACUCCAACCAGCAGGGGAUCAAAACAGAUGAAGAGACUUACAGCCAAACUUUGGACAGAGCUCAUGAAUCUUAAGAAAGAAGGGGGAUAUAAAAGGACCCAGAGCAGACAGGAGUCACACAAAGAGAUGGACAAAGCCAAAAGGAAUCAGGAUCCAGGGAAGACUACAGAGACUGAUGCAUCAACCAAAGACCAUACAUAGAGAAGACGUAGACCUCCUGCUCAGAUGUAGCCCACAAACAACUCAGUCUCCAUGUAGGUUCCCUAGUAAGAAGAGAAGAGACAGUCUCUGACAUGAACUCAGUUGCCUGCUUCUUGAUCACUUCUUCCUGGUGAGGUGACCUAGCCAGGCCACAGAGGAAGAGGAUACAGGCAGUCCUGAUGGGACCUGAUAGGCUAGGGUUAGAUAAGAGGACUUACCCUAUCAGUGGACUACAGGAGAUGGAUGGGGAGAAAAAGGGAGAGACAGUGAGAUGGAGAGAACAUGAGGGAGAGGGCCUCAACUGAGAUACAAAGUGAAUAAAUUGUAAAUAACAACAACAAUAAUAAUAAUAAUAAUAAUAAAAUAGAGCUAAUAAUUGGAAAUGCAUUUGUACACUAAGUCUUGUAAUAUAGAGCAAGGGAUUUAUUCCUUUCCUCAGUAUUCACUUGUGAAUUCAAUCAGCAUCUGUACAGAUCCACCUUUACCACAGAUCUUCCUCCCCAAGUUGUUGGAGCCUAUUUAGCUUUCUAUCUGGUAUUAGAAUUGAUGAUGUAACUUCUUUCUCUAUAGCUACAAAUGACUGCAAAUUUAAGUCCAUAACACUUGCAUCACAAAAAGUUUCACACCCCCCAUUUGUUUCAUAAAGAUCUCCAUAUGGAAAGAAGUUUUUAUCAUUUCUCUUCCUUUUUGAUUUGUCUAACUUUUCCCUCCACUUUCCAUGUGUAGCACCAAAUGUAAAAGUUCCCUUAUUUUGAACAUUAUUUUUAUAUUAAUGUCCCUUAAUAGCAAACACAUAUCUUUGCUACCAUUAAUAACUGCUUUCAGGACUCAACCCAUCAGGGUAUCGAAGGAGAUACUGAGACUUAUAGCCAAACUUUAGGCAGAAUGCAGGAAACCUUAUGGAAGAAGAGGAAGAAAGACAUGGAGCUCCACAGGGAGCAAAUAUAUCUGGGCACAGGGGUCGUUUCUGAGACUGAUUCUCCAACGAAGGACCAUGCAUGGAUAUAAUCUAGAACCCCUGCCCAGAUGUAGCCCAUGGCAGCUCAGUAUCCAAGUGUGUUUUCCUAGUAAGGGGAACAGGGACACUCUCUGACAUGAACUCAGUGGCUGGCUCUUUGACCUCCCCAUCCCAAAGGAGGAGCAGCCUUGCUAAGCCACAGAGGAAGACAAUGGAGACAGUCCUGAUGAGACCUGAUAAACUAGGGUCAGAUGGAAGGGGAGGAGGACCUCCCCUAUCAGUGAACCUAGCAAGGGGCAGGGAGGAGAUAAGGGAGGAUGGGUGGGGAUUGGAGGGAAUGAUGGAGGGGGCUACAGCUGGAAUACAAAGUAAAUAACCUGUAAUUAAUAUAAAAAAUAAAAAUUUAGGAAAAUAAAAGAAAGACCUGGAGGGUCAGGAACUGCAUAAGGAGACUAAUAGUGCCAAAAAACCUGGACCCACUGGGUCCUGCAGAGACUGAUACCCCAACCAAGGACUAUGCGUGGAGAGGAAGCCCAUAGGCUUCUUAGUUUCCAUGUGGGUUCCCUAGUAAGGGGAACAGGGACUGUCUCUGAUAUGAACUCAGUGGCUGGCUCCUUAACAGGCCACAGAGGAAGUUGAUGCAGCCAGCCCUGAUGAGAUCUGAGAGGCUAAGGUCAGAAGAGGAGGAAGUCUUCCCCUAACAGUGGACUAUGGAAAGGGCAUAGGGGAAGAAGAGGGAGUAGGAUGUAAAUGGGAGUAGAGGAGAGAUUGGACUACAGAGGGGAUACAAAGUGAAUAAAUUGUAAGAAAUAAAUAUUUUUUAAAAGGAAAGAAAAAACUAAGUUCUUUCAGGAAUUUUAAGCUCUUAUUCUAAGAUAGUAGAAGAGUUUGUGGACUUCCUCAAGGGCAUCAUUGCCUGUUAUGAUUUUUUUUAAUUUAUUAUUUCAAAAUUGAGUAAUAAGGAUUGGGUGUUAAUUAGACAAAGGGUGGACCUUUGAUUGUUUAAUUUUAUUUGUCACCUUGAUCAGAUCUGGAAUUAACAAAAUUCAAGCUUCUCGGUACCUUGUACUUUCACGAAUAAAUUGAAAUAGGAAGACUCACCUUAAAUGUGGACAAUAGUUUCUAGUGGGAGCCCAGAUAAAGGAGAAGACAUGUUUUUUUUGUUUUGUUUUAUUUUGUGUUUGUUUGCCGUCAUUCUCUCUGACAAGUUCAUCUAUCCUGUUACUGUUCCUGAUGUGUGUUUUUAAUACUCUUAGGGCCAACCUUAAGUUUCCAAUUGGGAUUGAAACCCUUCGCUUCUCAAGGUGUCCUUUCUGACUUCAAUUCCAGAUUGAGGCUGAUGAGACAUCACACCUCUUGAACUGCAAAAAUAUUAGGUUCCUGGCCUCUUUGAUAUGAGACAGCCAUUGUUGGAGCACCUAUAUCAUAAUUUUGUAAGCCAAUAUAAUAUACCCUUUUAAUAAAUAUCCAUCCUAUUGAUUUUUUUUCCCUGGGGAGAGUAAAUAUUAAAAAAUUUGCAACAGAUAAAAAAGAAAAUAUUCAACUUUCUACAGAAUUUGUGCAAUGAGCUUAGGCUCUGGCUCCUGAUUUUUUUAGAUAAGACAUAGUUUGGUAUUUAAUCUUUGGUUGAGAACAUUUCCUUCUAAGUAAAGGUGAAUGAUUUUAGAGAGUUCUAUGAGAGUAAUGCUGCCUGGCACAGUCAGAUAGAGACCAGAAACUGAGAAAAAUGAUUCAUCUCAAUGGCAAACAUUAUGUCUACUAAUUUCUCUCCCUUUUCCCAGUGAAAUAGGAGGGGAGAUGUUGAUAGCCUGACAUUUUAUUUAUGUUGUUAACUUGUUCAUGAGAAAAAAAUAAAGUAAAGUUAUAAAAUUUUUUUUUUUAAUUUAAUUCUGUGUUCUUGAGAUUGGAACACCAUUUUGGCAGACUCAAGAAAGGCAGAUUCAGACCAAACGUAAGCAUGAAAUACUGUAUAUUCAUCAUGAAGGAGCUAAAAUUAUUUUUCACAGAUUACAGUUAUAAAAGUAAAGGUACAAAACUGAUUUAGUCAAUGUUUUUAAACUCAGAAAUAUAUCUCAUUAAGGCCAAUUAAACAUAAAAUCAAUGAUUAUCAGAAAAAUCUUGUUUACAAUACUAAUAAUUAAGUCCCAUUUUUUUUUCUUAGAAAAUGUAGUUAGGAGACCUUAAAAAUUAAAACUGCAUUUGGCAUUCUUUGCCUUGCUUAUUUUUCUGUAGAGAGCCUAUCAGUUAAAAUGAUGAAUUUUAACCUUUUCCAUUUCUCUCAGACAAGAUGUAAUUCAUAUUCUUCAGGCUUUUAGCAGCUGGCUCCUCAUACUGAUGAAGAAGUUAUUGUUUUUAUAAUAUUUACUAAGGUAGAGUUACUGAACCAACCUCAAGGACACAUAUUUUACUUUUAAUAUGCAAAAUUCUGAGAAUCCUUUGGGGGGAAAAACAGUGAGAAGAAAAUACAUUAAAUUAUGCAGCUAAUUGUAUGGUUUAAUGAAUUUGAAUUAAGUCAUAAAAUAUUAUAUUCAAUACAAUGUAUGUGAUGAAUAGGAAAUAAAAAGGUCAUGGUGUCUAAGAAUAGUAGGACCAAGAACUGGAAUACUAAUGGAUCAAAAAUGCUCUGUAUAAAAUGUCUUUUUUGCUCUGUGUCCCAAUUUUGUUCUUUUCAAAGUGAUUAUUCUCAAAAGUAUUCA